UACAGAGGUCUCAAGCGUUGUUCGGAUUCAUUGGGCGUAAAGGGUGCGUAGGCGGCGCGGUAAGUCGGGUGUGAAAUCUCGGAGCUUAACUCCGAAACUGCAUUCGAUACUGCCGUGCUUGAGGACUGGAGAGGAGACUGGAAUUUACGGUGUAGCGGUGAAAUGCGUAGAUAUCGUAAGGAAGACCAGUGGCGAAGGCGGGUCUCUGGCCAGUUCCUGACGCUGAGGCACGAAGGUCAGGGGAGCAAACGGG
rnacentral:rRNA from 1 species